AUGGAUCGAGGAGAUGGCCUGAGCUGGGGUGGCGCACAGCGCACGGGGAACAGGUACGCAACCCUAGCAACUCCUGGUAGCGAAGGUAGGAGAGCGGAGGUGCGUGGGGGAAGCUCGGCGGAAGCCGAGCGAACAGCAAAGGCGCAAAUGCAGUCCAAGAUCAAACGCAGAAACACACAAGGGAUCACCUACUUCGGUCUCGUAUGGAAGAAAAACAAGAGCGACAUGAAUGCUAUCAACGCGGACGAUGUUAUCCUUGGAAGCAAGGAUGGUGUAGGUUCGUCCAUGAAACCAAUCUGCUGUCUCUGUCGCAAGCGAUAUUCCCCAGACUUGAUGUACAUCCGGUGUGAGAGGUGCAGAAAUUGGUUCCAUGGAGAUGCCUUGAGACUUGAGGAGGCAAAGAUUGAUGAAGUCAUAUCCUAUAGAUGCUGCAGAUGUCGGAGGAGGGCAAUACCGGGAUGUCCUCAUUCAGAUGAUUAUUAUCAUAAGAGGCCUGAACCAGAACCUGUCAUCCAAGAAAGUGCAGCUAAUAUUCCCUCAAGUGAGGAAGCUAUUGGCGCAGCAGAUGAAAAUACAUCAAGUGCUUCAUUUGGUAUAUUCGAACAAACUGUAGAAGAUAUUCAUGCUGAUUCCUCAGUGCACAUGGAAACCUUUGUGCUGGGAAGUAAUCAAGAGAUGAACUUUGUGGAUGGUUCUUACAAUUCCGCACAUCCAUUCGAUAAAGUAGAUAUUAAGCAGGCUAUGAAGGACGCUCGGCCAUAUGAUGCAUGCUUUGCAUGGUAUACGCCUGGUAGUGGUACCUGCCAGCAAUUGGACCCUAUGGAUCCUGUGGAUGAUGUCCCCCUGCCAGUUCCCACAGUGGAGACCAACUUUGAGAAAGACCAAACUGCCGCACUUCACAGAGCUUAUGGUGGUUUUCGGGUUGUUGCUGCGGAGACUGGCUCAUUAUAUGAGCGGAUUAGACAGGGGGAUUAUCUCACUAAUGAUGAGAUCAUGGGGACCUUGGACAAGCUUCAGAAAAUUGCUCUACACCAAAUGAAGGAUAUUGCCAGCCAUGGCGUAGUCUACUCUGAGGUCCCAACACAACCAAUGCACAACGCAAGCACCUCCAACACCCGGCCAUCUGAUCACCAGAGUAGCCUCUAA
rnacentral:rRNA from 1 species